rnacentral:rRNA from 1 species
GAUGAACGCUGGCGGCGUGCCUAAUACAUGCAAGUCGAGCGAACGGACGAGAAGCUUGCUUCUCUGAUGUUAGCGGCGGACGGGUGAGUAACACGUGGAUAACCUACCUAUAAGACUGGGAUAACUUCGGGAAACCGGAGCUAAUACCGGAUGAUAUUUUGAACCGCAUGGUUCAAAAGUGAAAGACGGUCUUGCUGUCACUUAUAGAUGGAUCCGCGCUGCAUUAGCUAGUUGGUAAGGUAACGGCUUACCAAGGCAACGAUGCAUAGCCGACCUGAGAGGGUGCUCAGCCACACUGGAACUGAGACACGGUCCAGACUCCUACGGGAGGCAGCAGUAGGGAAUCUUCCGCAAUGGGCGAAAGCCUGACGGAACAACGCCGCGUGAGUGCUGAAGGUCUUCGGAUCGUAAAGCUCUGUUAUUAGGGAAGAACAUAUGUGUAAGUAACUGUGCACAUCUUGACGGUACCUAAUCAGAAAGCCACGGCUAACUACGUG